rnacentral:rRNA from 1 species
GAUUUCUGGUUUGAUGUACCUGUCCCGCCACGGUAACGUGUGUGAGUGACGGUGUAUAUCUGCCAUCCUUCCAGAGAAUAUAAGCUACCCUUUAUUGGGCCGGUUUAUACCAUCUGGAUCUUUUACUUUGAAAAAAUUAGAGUGUUUCAAGCAGGCUUUUGCUAUGAAUACAUUAGCAUGGAAUAAUAAUUUAGGACUUCGGUUCUAUUUUGUUGGUUUCUAGGACUGAAGUAAUGAUUGAUAGGGAUAGUUGGGGGUGCUAGUAUUCAGCGGCCAGAGGUGAAAUUCUUGGAUUCGCUGAAGACUAACUUAUGCGAAAGCAUU